rnacentral:rRNA from 1 species
AGUGAACGCUGGCGGUAGGCCUAACACAUGCAAGUCGAACGGCAGCACAGUAAGAGCUUGCUCUUACGGGUGGCGAGUGGCGGACGGGUGAGGAAUACAUCGGAAUCUACUUUUUCGUGGGGGAUAACGUAGGGAAACUUACGCUAAUACCGCAUACGACCUACGGGUGAAAGCAGGGGAUCUUCGGACCUUUCGCGAUUGGAUGAGCCGAUGUCGGAUUAGCUAGUUGGCGGGGUAAAGGCCCACCAAGGCGACGAUCCGUAGCUGGUCUGAGAGGAUGAUCAGCCACACUGGAACUGAGACACGGUCCAGACUCCUACGGGAGGCAGCAGUGGGGAAUAUGGGACAAUGGGCGCAAGCCUGAUCCAGCCAUACCGCGUGGGUGAAGAAGGCCUUCGGGUUGUAAAGCCCUUUUGUUGGGAAAGAAAAGCAGCAGGUUAAUACCCCGCUGUUCUGACGGUACCCAAAGAAUAAGCACCGGCUAACUUCGUG